UACGUAGGUCCCGAGCGUUGUCCGGAUUUAUUGGGCGUAAAGCGAGCGCAGGUGGUUUAAUAAGUCUGAUGUAAAAGGCAGUGGCUCAACCAUUGUGUGCAUUGGAAACUGUCAGACUAGAGUGUGGUAGAGGAGAGUGGAAUUCCAUGUGUAGCGGUGAAAUGCGUAGAUAUAUGGAGGAACACCGGUGGCGAAAGCGGCUCUCUGGACUGUAACUGACACUGAGGCUCGAAAGCGUGGGUAGCAAACAGG
rnacentral:rRNA from 1 species